rnacentral:rRNA from 1 species
UUGGGUUAAGUCCCGUAACGAGCGCAACCCUUGUCCUAGUUACCAGCACGUUAUGGUGGGCACUCUAAGGAGACUGCCGGUGACAAACCGGAGGAAGGUGGGGAUGACGUCAAGUCAUCAUGGCCCUUACGGCCUGGGCUACACACGUGCUACAAUGGUCGGUACAAAGGGUUGCCAAGCCGCGAGGUGGAGCUAAUCCCAUAAAACCGAUCGUAGUCCGGAUCGCAGUCUGCAACUCGACUGCGUGAAGUCGGAAUCGCUAGUAAUCGUGAAUCAGAAUGUCCACGGUCGAAUACGUUCCCGGGCCUU